rnacentral:rRNA from 1 species
UACGGAGGGGGCAAGCGUUGUUCGGAGUUACUGGGCGUAAAGCGCGCGUAGGCGGUGCUGUAAGUCAGGGGUUAAAGGCUGCAGCUCAACUGCAGUAAGGCCUUUGAUACUAUCGCGCUAGAGUACCGGAGAGGAUGGCGGAAUUCCCGGUGUAGAGGUGAAAUGCGUAGAUAUCGGGAGGAACACCAGUAGCGAAGGCGGCCAUCUGGAUGCUAACUGACGCUGAGGUGCGAGAGCGUGGGGAGCAAACAGG